rnacentral:rRNA from 1 species
AAUCAACGCUGGCGGCGUGCCUCAGACAUGCAAGUCGAACGAUUAAAGCUCUCUUCGGAGAGUGCAUAAAGUGGCGCACGGGUGAGUAACACGUAAGUAAUCUACCCUCGAGUGGGGAAUAACGUCCGGAAACGGACGCUAAUACCGCAUAAUGCAGCGGCAUCGCAAGAUGACAGUUGUUAAAGAUUUAUCGCUUGAAGAGGAGCUUGCGGCAGAUUAGCUAGUUGGUAAGGUAAUGGCUUACCAAGGCUACGAUCUGUAACCGGCCUAAGAGGACGGUCGGUCACACUGACACUGAAUAACGGGUCAGACUCCUACGGGAGGCAGCAGUCGGGAAUUUUGGGCAAUGGGCGAAAGCCUGACCCAGCAACGCCGCGUGAAGGAUGAAGUAUUUCGGUAUGUAAACCUCGAAAGAAUGGGAAGAAUAAAUGACGGUACCAUUUAUAAGGUCCGGCUAACUACGUGCCAGCCGCCGCCGUAAC